AGUGAACGCUGGCGGCGUGCUUAACACAUGCAAGUCGAACGAGAACGGGUUAUAGCUUGCUAUAAUUGUCAGCUAAGUGGCGCACGGGUGAGUAAUGUAUAGGUAAUAUGCCUCUUACUAAGGGAUAACAAAUGGAAACGUUUGCUAAUACCUUAUACUCCUUAUUAACUAAAGUUGGUAAGGGAAAGAUUUAUUGGUAAGAGAUUAGCCUGUAUUGUAUCAGUUAGUUGGUGGGGUAAUGGCCUACCAAGACUAUGACGCAUAACUGGUUUGAGAGGAUGAUCAGUCACACUGGAACUGAGACACGGUCCAGACUCCUACGGGAGGCAGCAGUGGGGAAUUUUCCGCAAUGGGCGAAAGCCUGACGGAGCAAUACCGCGUGAGGGAAGACUGCCUAUGGGCUGUAAACCUCUUUUUUCUAGGGAGGAAUAAAAUGACGUGUACCUGAAGAAUAAGCAUCGGCUAACUCCGUGCCA
rnacentral:rRNA from 1 species